GGAAUAUUGGACAAUGGGCGCAAGCCUGAUCCAGCAAUGCCGCGUGUGUGAAGAAGGCUUUCGGGUUGUAAAGCACUUUCAGUAGGGAAGAAAAGCGUUGGGCUCAUACCCCGGCGUCUUGACGGUACCUACAGAAGAAGCACCGGCUAACUCCGUGCCCGCAGCCGCGGUAAUACGGAGGGUGCAAGCGUUAAUCGGAAUCACUGGGCGUAAAGCGCGCGUAGGCGGUUCAGUAAGUCAGGUGUGAAAGCCCCGGGCUCAACCUGGGAAUUGCACUUGAUACUGCUGAGCUAGAGUGUGGUAGAGGGAGGUGGAAUUCCGCAUGUAGCGGUGAAAUGCGUAGAUAUGCGGAGGAACAUCAGUGGCGAAGGCGGCCUCCUGGACCAACACUGACGCUGAGGUGCGAAAGCGUGGGGAGCAAAC
rnacentral:rRNA from 1 species